GAGCACGUAGGUGGGUUUGUAAGUCAGAAGUGAAAGCCUUCUGUUCAACGGAAGAAUAGCAUCUGAAACUGCGAGUCUUGAGUGUAGGAGGGGAGAAUGGAACUUCUGGUGGAGCGGUGAAAUGCGUAGAUAUCAGAAGGAACGCCGGCGGCGAAAGCGAUUCUCUGGCCUAUUACUGACACUCAGUGUGCGAAAGCUAGGGGAGCAAACGGGAUUAGAUACCCCGGUAGUCCUAGCCGUAAACGAUGGGCACUAAGUAGAGGGAAUUACCGAUGUUCUCUCUGCCGUAGCUAACGCAUUAAGUGCCCCGCCUGGGGAGUACGGCCGCAAGGCUAAAACUCAAAAGAAUUGACGGGGGCUCGCACAAGCGGUGGAGCAUGUGGCUUAAUUCGAUGCAACGCGAAAAACCUUACCGGGGCUUGACGUGGUAGAAGUAGGAACCCGAAAGGGUAACGAACGGUAUCCGGUCCGUAGCUAUCACAGGUGUUGCAUGACUGUCGUCAGCUCGUGUCGUGAGACGUUGGGUUAAGUCCCCUAACGAGCGAAACCCUUGUUUUUAGUUACCAGCGGGUUGUACCGGGUACUCUAGAAAGACUGCCGUCGUCAAGACGGAGGAAGGUGGGGAUGACGUCAAGUCAUCAUGGCCCUUAUGCCCCGGGCUGCACACGUGCUACAAUGGUCGGUACGAACGGAUGCGAAGCCGAGAGGUGAAGCGAAUCC
rnacentral:rRNA from 1 species